CGGGACGGGUGAGUAAUGUCUGGGAACUGCCUGAUGGAGGGGGAUAACUACUGGAAACGGUAGCUAAUACCGCAUAACGUCGCAAGACCAAAGAGGGGGACCUUCGGGCCUCUUGCCAUCGGAUGUGCCCAGAUGGGAUUAGCUAGUAGGUGGGGUAACGGCUCACCUAGGCGACGAUCCCUAGCUGGUCUGAGAGGAUGACCAGCCACACUGGAACUGAGACACGGUCCAG
rnacentral:rRNA from 1 species